CCUACGGUAGUCAGCAGUGGGGAAUAUUGCACAAUGGGGGAAACCCUGAUGCCGCGACGCCGCGUGAGUGAAGAAGUAAUUCGUUAUUUAAAGCUCUAUCAGCAGGGAAGAAAAUGACGGUACCUGAGUAAGCAGCCCAGACUAACUACGUGCCAGCAGCCGAGGUACUAGGUAGGGGGCAAGCGUUAUCCGGAGUUCUUGGGUUUGAAGGGUGCGUAGGCGGACUGUUACGGCAGCGGUAAACGGCCGGGGCUCAACCCCGGCGAGCCGUUGAGACUGGCUGUCUUGAGAUGUCGUGAGGUAUGCGGAAUGCGCAGUGUAGCGGUGAAAUGAUGAGAUAUUGCGCAGAACUCCGAUUGCGAAGGCAGCAUACCGGCGGCGAUCUGACGCUGAGGCACGAAAGCGUGGGUAUCGAACAGGAUUAGAUACCCCAGUAGUC
rnacentral:rRNA from 1 species